GGACUACCGGGGUAUCUAAUCCUGUUCGCUCCCCACGCUUUCGAGACUCAGCGUCAGUUUCAGUCCAGUAAGCCGCCUUCGCCACUGGUGUUCUUCCUUAUAUCUACGCAUUUCACCGCUACACAAGGAAUUCCGCUUACCUCUCCUGUACUCUAGUCACACAGUUUCUUAUGCAGUCCCCGGGUUAAGCCCGGGAAUUUCACAUAUGACUUGCAUGACCGCCUACUCUCCCUUUACACCCAGUAAUUCCGGAUAACGCUUGCCCCCUACGUUUUACCGCGGCGGCUGGCAC
rnacentral:rRNA from 1 species